rnacentral:rRNA from 1 species
UACGUAGGGUGCGAGCGUUAAUCGGAAUUACUGGGCGUAAAGUGUGCGCAGGCGGCGUUGCAAGUCGAGUGUGAAAUCCCCGAGCUUAACUUGGGAAUUGCGCUCGAAACUACGAUGCUCGAGUGUGGCAGAGGAAGGUGGAAUUCCACGUGUAGCGGUGAAAUGCGUAGAUAUCAGCAGGAACACCCAUGGCGAAGGCAGCUUCCUGGGUCGGCCCUGACGCUGAGGCGCGAAAGCGUGGGGAGCGAACAGG